rnacentral:miRNA from 1 species
GGGAAUGUUGUCUGGUUCGAG